rnacentral:rRNA from 1 species
AGCAGCUGCGGUAAUUUCAGCUCCAAUAGUGUAUAUUAAAGUUGUUGCAGUUAAAAGCUCGUAGUUGAAUUUCGAGACCGGUUUACUGGUCGUGCUUUUGUACGUACUGGUAUAAUCGGUUUCUCUCUUCUGACGAACUAUAAUGCCAUUAAUUUGGUGUUUUAGGGAAUCAGGACUGUUACUUUGAAAAAAUUAGAGUGUUUAAAGCAGGCUCACGCUUGAAUACAUUAGCAUGGAAUAACGAAAUAGGACGUUUGAUUCUAUUUUGUUGGUUUCUAGGAUCGACGUA